AGAACGUGCCCUUAGGCGGAGGAUAAUCUCGGGAAAUUGAGGAUAAUACUCCAUAGGUCACGGGGUCUGGAACGACCCGUGGCCGAAAGCCCCGGCGCCUAAGGAUCGCUCUGCGGCUUAUCAGGUCGUAGUGGGUGUAACGUACCCCCUAGCCGACGACGAGUAUGGGCCUUGAGAGAGGGAGCCCAGAGUUGGAUUCUGAGACACGAAUCCAGGCCCUACGGGGCGCAGCAGUCGCGAAAACUUCACACUGGGGGCAACCCCGAUGAGGGAAUUCCUAGUGCCAGGGCCUCUGGUCCUGGCUUUUCUCCGGCGUAGACGACCGGAGGAAUAAGGGCUGGGUAAGACGGGUGCCAGCCGCCGCGGUAAUACCUGCAGCCCGAGUGGUGGUCGAUUUUAUUGAGUCUAAAACGUUCGUAGCCGGCACGGUAAAUCCCUGGGUAAAUCGGGAAGCUCAACUUCCCGAAUUCCGGGGAGACUGCCGGGCUUGGGACCGGGAGAGGCUAGAGGUACUUCUGGGGUAGGGGUAAAAUCCUGUAAUCCUGGAAGGACCACCGGUGGCGAAGGCGUCUAGCUAGAACGGAUCCGACGGUGAGGGACGAAGCCCUGGGUCGCAAACGGGAUUAGAUACCCCGGUAGUCCAGGGUGUAAACGCUGCAGACUUGGUGUUGGGGGCCCUUCGGGGGCGUCCAGUGCCGGAGAGAAGUUGUUAAGUCUGCUACUUGGGGAGUACGUCCGCAAGGAUGAAACUUAA
rnacentral:rRNA from 1 species